rnacentral:rRNA from 1 species
GACGAACGCUGGCGGCGUGCUUAACACAUGCAAGUCGAGCGGUAAGGCCCUUUCGGGGGUACACGAGCGGCGAACGGGUGAGUAACACGUGGGUGACCUGCCCUCAGCUCUGGGAUAAGCCUGGGAAACUGGGUCUAAUACUGGAUAUGACUCCACGGUGCAUGUCGUGGGGUGGAAAGCCUUGUGCGGCUGAGGCUGGGCCCGCGGCCUAUCAGCUUGUUGGUGGGGUGANGGCCUACCAAGGCGACGACGGGUAGCCGGCCUGAGAGGCGACCGGCCACACUGGGACUGAGACACGGCCCAGACUCCUACGGGAGGCAGCAGUGGGGAAUAUUGCGCAAUGGGCGGAAGCCUGACGCAGCGACGCCGCGUGGGGAUGACGGCCUCGGUGUAACCUACUUC